UACGUAGGGGGCAAGCGUUGUCCGGAAUCAUUGGGCGUAAAGAGCGCGUAGGCGGCCCUGUAAGUCCGCUGUGAAAGUCAAGGGCUCAACCCUUGAAUGCCGGUGGAUACUGCAGGGCUAGAGUCCGGAAGAGGCGAGUGGAAUUCCUGGUGUAGCGGUGAAAUGCGCAGAUAUCAGGAAGAACACCAACGGCGAAGGCAGCUCGCUGGGACGGAACUGACGCUAAGGCGCGAAAGCGUGGGGAGCGAACAGG
rnacentral:rRNA from 1 species